AAUGACAACCUCACUCCAAAGUGGAGGUGUGCAUGGACUGACCAAGAAGGCUCAUCAGGCCUCAGUACACAAGGAACUCAAAGAAAUGGGUAAUUUAUUUUCAGAAUGAGCUAGAAAAUUAAUUCAUUAAAACUUUAUCCUCAGCCUCCUAGGACCAAAUGUUGGACUGAAGCAUUGGUGCAAAACAUAAAGACAUAUAUUUCUCCUUAA
rnacentral:lncRNA from 1 species